rnacentral:lncRNA from 1 species
CCUCUCAUUUUUAGAUGCCUUUCUCUUAUAGUCUGAAUUUUUUUUUAUAGCCUUCGUAAUUUCUACAGCUUCAAACAUAUUCAAUUUUUUAAAUCUUCACGGAUUUCUUUCUCGUCUCGAUUUAUAUUUUGUGUAUCAGGCGACGUCUCGCGUUAUUUUCGUGUCUGCGUAUCAGACCUUCUUGGUUCUAUUGCACCGUGCCACAGGUUCGUUUGUGCUCAUUUAAACCGCGCCGCGUUGUGAAGACCCC